CAGUGAGUUGGGUCUUGUCGAUCGUCUUCACGGCCAAUGCCUCGCCGGAAUCCGCCGCAAAGCACCGGAAAACGGCGCCGAAUCGCCCCCGUCCGAUCUCCUCUCCGAUCUCGAUCUUUCGGGAUAUUCCGUUUCAGUGUUUUUUAACACGUGGACGAUCCGAUGGUGUUCCACCGCUACAAAUGGACGGUUAGAUGAGUAGGACUGUUCAGAUACUGCGUCGAGAUCGUAAACCGAAUCGAAUUAAUUCUACGGUUGAUUAGAGCCCUCGUUGGUGUGGCCCGCUUGUUAUGGCCGUUGGAUAAGGUGAUCUCAGCCGCUAUAAAGACAUGUGAAGCUUUGGAAGGUUUUGCUGGCUUUUUCUCUCAGCAAAUGCAGAAAAUCCAAAUGGUAAUACACAAACAAGUGAUGGUUUGAUGCAUGAAUGCUGCAGACAUUAUAACUCAAAGGUCCAUUAAUCCAGGUACACACUGUAUAACUCUGACAUCAUUAAUUCAAUAGACAUAAUAUAUACAUAAUAAUAUUACCAGAGACAUGCAAGGAACAUGAUAAAUGUUCAAUAAAGCAAUUGCAAUUCAAAGACCUCAUGUCUUUAGUCUAAGCAGUACAUUCAAUUGUCAGAUUUCAAAGUUGUGCUGUUUUGUGUACUCUUUGAUUCCAUUCCACCUUUGAAAAAGAUUAAAGUCCGCACAUGCAGCUCUUCAGUCAAUAAGUUCGGUAGGGGCAUGAUAUGCAGUGAUACAGAUCAAAAGAAAUUAAGGAAUGUAAUUUAGUUACUUAAUUUAAUUUGAUCACCAUCUAAUCCCAAUAGAUUAGGCAAUACAUCCUUUUCAAGGAUGAGUUAAAAAAUUAACCGCUAGCGUUGGAUUCUUUUUCGGUGGAGAAUCUAGGUUCUAGUUUGGCGUAUGGGAUAUAAUAGUGCUUGUUUAUAUAUAUAGUCCAUAUGGCAUCAUUCCAAGUGUCAAAGGUAUAGUGUUUUGUUAGUUUGUGAUAAUUUAAAAAUGAAAGAUUCAUUCAAUAAGCAAGAGCAAUGGUGCAUUUUAUAUACGCUAUGAUUGGGAGUGGGAGGUGUGUUUGUUUAUUAAGUUAACAUUUUUUUUUAUUCAUUGUGUCCACAUAGAAGUGGUCUCUUCUUGCUUGUUGGACAAGUUAAAGAGAUUUAAAUAUUUAGGUGUAGAGAGUGUCUCGUGUUGCGUAUGGAACGGUGAUGGUUUAAAUUUUUAUUAAAUAAAUUAACUCAUAAAUGAUAUCACAAUUAAUUCACAUGUUAUAAAGACAAGUAUUUGUUGUCAUUUUAAAAAAACAACACAAUAAAAAGGAUGAAUCAGAAGGUUUUUGUUUUAUUUUAAUUUCCGUAGUUUAAAAGGAGAUGAUGAGGACAUGUGUGUGGAAAAGAAGAGCAUCUUAAAACAAAGUUCAAGUGUGCAACGUGUUAUCUCAUUUAAUCAAGGUGUCAGAGUGGUUUUGGUUUUGCUUGUUUUUUUGUAUCACCUGGUUCUAAUUAUUGGAGGUUCUGAGUGAUCACUGGCCCCACUUGUGGUUAAUUUACAUAAAGGUGAAUGAAAACUAUAUAAGGAGUAAGAGCAAACUAAGGUCUUAAUGGUCCUUCAUUCAUGCAAGCGUGACUAGAUAAGGCAUGCAAUGAUCCUUUCUCUUUCUCAAAUUAAAUAAUGCAAUAAUGCAAAGUGCUUCUCAUUCUCAUCACUGACAGCUGAAAAAUGAUAACUUUAUUUUCUAAUUCUAACUCAUUAAAGUGGCCCCCUUGAUUCCACCCAACUUAACAUACACGCUCAACAGAGUUUGUUUCCAUUUAGCUUUCUUUCUUGUGGGUAAAGUUUUUG